AAGAAUAGUGUUGAACUAUGUUGGAUUUAUUAAGCACCUGACAUGGCAUGAAAGUACUGGCAAAUGGAAGGAAUGUGUGUCAGAACCCAUUAAUCAGUGUGAUAUUUAUGGGCAUUGUGGUCCCUAUGGAAAAUGUGAUUCAAACCAUAUUAUUCAAAAAUUUGAAUGUAAUUGUUUACCUGGUUAUGAGCCCAAGUCCCCAAGAAACUGGCAUAUUCUGCGAGAUGGGUCAGGUGGUUGUCUCAAGAAGCGACUAGACUCUUCCCCAUUAUGUGGGUACGGAGAAGGUUUUGUUAAAAUGACACAUAUGAAGAUUCCUGAUACGUCAGCAGCAGUCUGGGUGAGCACGAACAUGCAUCCUAUGGACUGCGAACAGAAGUGCAGGAUGAAUUGUUCGUGCUCUGCAUACUCGAUCGUAGAUAUUGUUGAGAAUGGAACUGGUUGUUUGAUAUGGUAUGGUGAAUUAAUGGACACUGUGGAGAAUGUGAAAGAUGGAUUCGAUUUUUAUGUUCGCGUUGAUGCCCUUGAAUUAGCUAACAUGGCACAAAAGUCAAAUGGAUUUCUUGAAAGGAUGGAUAUGCUGGCUGUUUUAAUAGUAUCUGUUGUUUCAGCCUGGUUUGUCAUCAUCUUAAUUGCAUAUUUGUGGCUUAAGAAGAAGAGAAAAUUGGAGAGGAAGAAAUGGCAUGAAAGAUUGUUUGAUACAUAUUACAAGGAUACCUUGGAGGCAAAUGAAGUUGGAGGUAGAAUCAGUAAUCCAGAGAUUGCAUUUUUCGAUCUUCGCACAAUACUUACUGCCACCAAUAAUUUCUCUCUAGCUAACAAACUAGGACAAGGUGGUUUUGGCUUCGUUUAUAAGGGUCAAUUAUCUAAUGGACAGGAGGUGGCCGUGAAAAGACUAUCCAAAAAUUCAAGGCAA
rnacentral:misc_RNA from 1 species